UACGUAGGGGGCUAGCGUUGUCCGGAAUCAUUGGGCGUAAAGCGCGUGUAGGCGGCCCGGUAAGUCCGCUGUGAAAGUCGGGGGCUCAACCCUCGGAUGCCGGUGGAGUACUGUCGGGCUUGAGUACGGAAGAGGCGAGUGGAAUUCCUGGUGUAGCGGUGAAAUGCGCAGAGUAUCAAGGAGGAACACCUAUUGCGAAGGCAGCUCGCUGGGACGUGACUGACGCUGAGACGCGAAAGCGUGGGGAGCAAACAGG
rnacentral:rRNA from 1 species